GUCAACUAGUCAAAGAUGGAGUCCGGAGCUGGGAGGCCGUGAGGUUGCCAACAGACGAAACAUGAUUUGUUCUGACGGAGGAGCCGUUACGCGUUGCGAAGCGUCACCGCGGAGGAACGGCACGCGGCUGUAGGGAAUUAACGGUAACGGAGGGAGGGUUUUCCCCGCUGGAGUGAGCAACUUAACUCCCGUUGUGCUUCUUCUCCUUCUUCUUCUUGUUCUUCUUCUGUGCUGGGAGCUGCACGGACCGGCCCUUCCUCUGCCAGACUGAGACUACUGCUGAUGUCUUUCCAUGAUCCAUGCAAAGAAACAAGACCAUGAGAAGAUUAUUGAUUAUUUCUGUAUUUUGAUUUAUUGCUUGCCAUCAAUGUCAAAUAAAAAUGUUGGCAGACCAAAA